GAUGAAGAACGUAGCGAAAUGCGAUAAGUAGUGUGAAUUGCAGACUUUAGUGAAUCAUCGAAUCUUUGAACGCACAUUGCGCCCCUUGGUAUUCCAUUGGGCAUGCCUGUUCGAGCGUCAUUUACACCCUCAAGCCUAGCUUGGUGUUGGGCGUUGUCCGCAAGGACUCGCCUCAAAUUCAUUGGCAGCGGCAUCGUCAGCUUCUCGCGCAGCACAUUGCGCUUCAGAAGGCUUCUGGCGGGCUCGCGUCCACUAAGAUACCACCCAGUUUGACCUCGAAUCAGGUAGGGAUACCCGCUGAACUUAAGCAUAUCAAUAAGCGGAGA
rnacentral:misc_RNA from 1 species